UACGGAGGGUGCGAGCGUUAAUCGGAAUUACUGGGCGUAAAGCGCAUGCAGGUGGUUUGUUAAGUCAGAUGUGAAAGCCCGGGGCUCAACCUCGGAAUAGCAUUUGAAACUGGCAGACUAGAGUACUGUAGAGGGGGGGUAGAAUUUCAGGUGUAGCGGUGAAAUGCGUAGAGAUCUGAAGGAAUACCGGUGGCGAAGGCGGCCCCCUGGACAGAUACUGACACUCAGAUGCGAAAAGCGUGGGGGAGCAAAACAGGAUUAGAUACCCGCGAUAGUCC
rnacentral:rRNA from 1 species